AAUGUAAUUAUUGCGAGUAGAACUUGUGCGCACAUUGCGAUGAAAGAUGGAAAGAAACAGGAAAUACUAAAAUGUGCUUGGAAUAGAUCGAUGCGCCUCUAGUUUUGGCUUAAUGCUACAGUUCAUUGUUUGUGUUUUACAGAAAGAAACUGAUUCUUCUGUUGCAGGUCACACUCCUUGAAGCCAUCCAAUCGUUUUUUAGGCCUUACCCGUGUCUGUCUUCUGGCUUAGUGCACUCGUCCGCGACUUUUAUCCAAAAUAACUGAGAAGAAACUAUCAUUCAUAUUGCAACUGAGAAGUAGGACAAAACGUCAAUGUUGUCCAGUGACGCCAAAUCUACGGCCUGCGGGUCCUAUCCUGCCCUAUCCGCCUCCUGGAAACUUCUGCUCCUAGUGUUUUACUGAAGCCGCAGACGCUCGUUCCACUGGAAAGUUUGGACACACCUCUCUGGUUGUUGUCACUACCUGGAACACUUUGAUUCCAAGUGUAAUUGGCUUACACAGUAACUUCCAUUGAGUUGAAUGACUACACAGAAACCAAAGUCAACAUUCUAUCACACAAUUUGUGUCUUUAUCCAAUUCAACAGAAUCUGACACAUUUUGAAGGUAUAAAUGAAUAGACUUCAUCAACUUAAUGAUUGCAAAUGAAAGCUGCUUUUCUUUCUUGUCUAAGCAAGUCGAACACAUCCUUAACAGACGUAUGCUAUUAAAGUGAAAUUGUGAACUCUGUAACUGAAGUAGAAUGAUUUCACCAGCUCACUGGUUGACUUAUACAUUCAUGUCGGCUUUGAUUCACUUAUUUCACCCCUACAGCUAAUUUCGAGAAUCAUAAUAUUGAAAUAUUAUUGAAAUGGAAUUAAUGCUUGAUUUAAUAAACCCAAUGCUGGAGAUUGUAAGCCCCAUUGUUGAAUUUGUAAGUCCGGUGUUUGGGCUUGUCAACCCAUUUCUUGAUUUUAUAAGGCCAGCGUUAAGGCUCUUGGUGCCAGUUUUCGAUUUCUUCAAGCCUGUGUUUCGCUUUGCUAGUGUAAUGCUAGACACUUUGAGCCCAGUUUAUGACUUGAUAACGCCUCUGUUUGACCACGUCAGGCCGGCACUCGACUGGGUCGCCCCGGCUCUCGAUUCGAUGAGCCCAUUGAUUGAGUCGAUCACCCCAUCAAUUAAUAUGCUAAGCUUCGCCUAUGACAUGGUGAACAUGGUGUAUAACAUGACACGUAUAACCAUUGAUCUCCUGAGGCCAGCAUAUGAUUUGAUUAGCUGAGGGCCACGCCUCGCAACCUAUGAGAAACAAACUAAGUUAAAAAUAAGCGCCGACACAAUUCUACCUGUCUUUCUUCAUAUUGAAUGUGUUUGAAGUUUUGUUCUCAAAAUGCAUUUACCGUGCGCCCUUCAUUCUGUUGGCGUCUUUUUUUCUGAACUAAAACUAAGAGCAUUAAAUUCAGGCCCCUGAGCUGGACGACAUCCAAAGACGAUUAAGUCUGGUACAGACUUACCUGUGAUACGUGUGCCUUGAAUGUUUGAAGUAUCUUUAUGCAAAUUUGUCUUCACCUUUUUUAAAAAUUUGAUCUGUGCUCCUUUUAUUACGAUUUAAAAAUUAUCUGUGUUUCACGCACCACAAGGAAGUCUAACACCUGGCUGAGAAUGCAGGACAUUCAUCUUCAGACCCCCUAGCUGUCCUAGUCUUAGGCUUGCGAAUGUACCCUCAGAUCCCCAAGCUGGAUUAGUAAUGCUUGCGAAUGUACCCUCAGACCCCCUUCCCAGCUGGUUUAGAGAGGCUUGUGAAUGUACCUUUCCUUAUCCUACAGGGAGAGUCGCAAAUAAAAUGGUGAGAAGCACUUGCUAAUAACAUUCACAUUGACUGACAGAUAUAAUAAGGAUCUAUUCAAACUUCUUUUUAUCUUACAAUACAUUUGAAGGAAAUGUUUGCUUACGUUCUGACUAACACAGACUUAAGUGCCGACACAUCUUUUAGAAUUAAGAUCAAAGUGUCAAGAAUGGUAAGAGAGAGAAUCUAAAUUGUAAAAAAAAUUCUUCCUUACACUGUUAUUGUCAUGGGGGAGGUAAUGAAAAGAAAACGUUCCUUUUUCGUUCGUAUAACCCUUUCAGCCCACUAGAGAUAUAACCUUUUAGCCCACUAGAGAUAUAACCUGUCAGCCCACUAGAGAUAUAACAUUUAGUACCUUGCAGGCUUUCAAUAGUAUUCUGUCAAAACUUUGAGGAGGUCGCUAGAGAAACUUUUGUUUCAAAAAGAUGUCUGUCCUCAAACAGUGAGUUAUUGCCCGUGGGAACUUACUCUAUCACGAAGUAAAACUUCUAAAAUUACAACCUGAAAGUCUGAAAGUCAUGUUGACGUCAAAACAUUGAGACCUUAGUUCACGUCUCCCAAAGUAAACGACUAAGCGUUAUAUCAUACUAUUUUUUUUAAAGCUCUGUCAGUCUGUCUGAUUUUUCCCACACCCAUUAUCGGAUAAACUUGAAAUUUGCACAAUAUUCAUUGGUGAAGACAAUACAUGAAUCAAUAAGAAAAUAAUUUGUUAAUUAAUUAUUUGUAGUUAAAUAAUUAUUGUUUAAUAAAAAAAGAAAUAACCUCUACAUUAUUGAGAUAUGUGGUUGUAACUGCGGAGUUCUUCCCCUUAGAUAAGCUUUUUUUUUUUUCUUCUUUUGACAUUCCUAAACUUUUAUUCUUUAGUCCGCCUUUUCAGUAAUGUAUGACUGAUAUUUUGUCAUGAAAUGUUCUCUUUUUGUAGUCUGGUUGUCUUUUGUUUAUUAUCUCCUGUUUAUACGUAAAAUGUUUGAUGAUUGUUUAAGUGUCUUCCUAUCUCGAUGAAUUGAGAUUUCUUCAUCGAUAACAAUGACGCUUUAUAGAAAUGUAAUUAUGUACUCUUUACAUUGUAUAGAGAAAACAAAAGUAUGGAAUGUUUUGAUUUUUUUGUGUUUAUUUUUAGG